rnacentral:lncRNA from 1 species
AUGAAGUUGCAAAUUAUAACUUUAUUUCAGCAGUCCAAGGUUUGGUUAAAUAUGUUGGGGGAGGGGUAUGAUUAUUGGCAUGAAGUUGCUGCUUAGAAUGAAUAUUUAAGCAUGGGUUCGGUUUGGCUUGGUUUGGUUUUAGUUUCCAACGGUUCAGUUUCGGAAUCAACCCGUAAACACCCCUAGUGGGUAUGGUUAGUUGUAUU